rnacentral:rRNA from 1 species
UACGUAGGUGGCAAGCGUUGUCCGGAAUUAUUGGGCGUAAAGCGCGCGCAGGCGGUCCUUUAAGUCUGAUGUGAAAGCCCACGGCUCAACCGUGGAGGGUCAUUGGAAACUGGGGGACUUGAGUGCAGGAGAGAAGAGUGGAAUUCCACGGUGUAGCGGUGAAUGCGUGAGAUGUGGAGGAACACCAGUGGCGAAGGCGACUCGUUUGGCCUGUAACUGACCGCUGGAGGCGCGAAAGGCGUGGGGAGCAAACAGGAUAGAAC